rnacentral:rRNA from 1 species
CCCGGCACAAGCGGUGGAGUAUGUGGUUAAUUCGAUGCAACGCGAAGAACCUUACCUGGUCUUGACAUCCCGGAGACCCUUAGGAAACUAGGGGGUGCUUCCAUCUGGAAGAAUCUGGAGACAGGUGCUGCAUGGCUGUCGUCAGCUCGUGUCGUGAGAUGUUGGGUUAAGUCCCGCAACGAGCGCAACCCUUGCCUUUAGUUGCCAGCAGUUCGGCUGGGCACUCUAAAGGGACUGCCGGUGUUAAACCGGAGGAAGGUGGGGAUGACGUCAAGUCCUCAUGGCCUUUAUGACCAGGGCUACACACGUACUACAAUGGCCGAUACAAAGGGCAGCGACACUGCGAGGUGAAGCCAAUCCCGUAAAAUCGGUCUCAGUCCGGAUUGGAGUCUGCAACUCGACUCCAUGAAGUUGGAAUCGCUAGUAAUCGUGGAUCAGCAUGCCACGGUGAAUACGUUCCCGGGCCUU